rnacentral:rRNA from 1 species
GAUGAACGCUGGCGGCGUGCCUAAUACAUGCAAGUCGAGCGAACAGAUGAGGAGCUUGCUCCUCUGACGUUAGCGGCGGACGGGUGAGUAACACGUGGAUAACCUACCUAUAAGACUGGGAUAACUUCGGGGAACCGGAGCUAAUACCGGAUAAUAUAUUGAACCGCAUGGUUCAAUAGUGAAAGACGGUUUUGCUGUCACUUAUAGAUGGAUCCGCGCCGCAUUAGCUAGUUGGUAAGGUAACGGCUUACCAAGGCAACGAUGCGUAGCCGACCUGAGAGGGUGAUCGGCCACACUGGAACUGAGACACGGUCCAGACUCCUACGGGAGGCAGCAGUAGGGAAUCUUCCGCAAAGGGCGAAAGCCUGACGGAGCAACGCCGCGUGAGUGAUGAAGGUCUUCGGAUCGUAAAACUCUGUUAUUAGGGAAGAACAAAUGUGUAAGUAACUAUGCACGUCUUGACGGUACCUAAUCAGAAAGCCACGGCUAACUACGUG